UCAAACUUGGUCAUUUAGAGGAAGUAAAAGUCGUAACAAGGUUUCCGUAGGUGAACCUGCGGAAGGAUCAUUAACAAAUCCACCGUUGUUCAUUUCCUUUACAUGUUCUUUCAUGGAUGUGCAAGGGGGGUGCAACAUUUGUUCCGUGUGUGCACGUUCAUUCUUGCAUGCAUUGUGAUACAUUUCUACGAAUACAUCUGAUUGGUUGAGAUUAGAAUUGACAUGAAUAACUUUUAACAAUGGAUCUCUAGGCUCUUGCAUCGAUGAAGAACGCAGC
rnacentral:misc_RNA from 1 species